rnacentral:rRNA from 1 species
UACGAAGGGCGCUAGCGUUGCUCGGAAUCACUGGGCGUAAAGCGCACGUAGGCGGCUUGCUAAGUCAGGGGUGAAAUCCUGGAGCUCAACUCCAGAACUGCCUUUGAUACUGGCGACCUUGAGUCCGGGAGAGGUGAGUGGAACUGCGAGUGUAGAGGUGAAAUUCGUAGAUAUUCGCAAGAACACCAGUGGCGAAGGCGGCUCACUGGCCCGGUACUGACGCUGAGGUGCGAAAGCGUGGGGAGCAAACAGG